GGGGAGAGGGAAGGACCGCACGGAGCACCAACCCCUGCUCGGCCCCGUACCAGGAAGCGCUGGGGGGCAGAGGAGCGGAGUUAAGGCAGAAGCCAGUCAGGAUGGUGGUGCCUUCGCUGAAGCUUCAGGACCUCAUCGAAGAGAUUCGCGGGGCCAAGACUCAGGCCCAGGAGCGGGAGGUGAUCCAAAAGGAGUGUGCCCACAUCCGGGCCUCCUUCCGCGACGGGGACCCAGUGCACAGGCACCGGCAGCUGGCCAAACUGCUCUACGUCCACAUGUUGGGCUACCCCGCCCACUUUGGACAGAUGGAGUGCCUGAAACUGAUCGCCUCCUCCAGAUUCACAGACAAGAGGGUGGGCUACCUGGGGGCCAUGCUUCUAUUGGAUGAGAGGCACGAUGCCCACCUGCUCAUUACCAACAGCAUCAAGAAUGACCUGAGCCAGGGGAUUCAGCCAGUACAAGGCCUGGCCUUGUGCACUUUGAGCACCAUGGGCUCUGCUGAGAUGUGCCGAGACCUGGCCCCAGAAGUGGAGAAACUGCUCCUGCAGCCCAGUCCCUACGUGCGCAAGAAGGCUAUUCUGACUGCAGUGCACAUGAUCCGGAAGGUCCCUGAACUCUCCAGUGUCUUCCUCCCACCCUGUGCUCAACUGCUUCAUGAGCGUCACCAUGGUGGUACCCCAGCUGGUACAGAUCCUCCGGACUCUGGUGACAACGGGAUACUCCACAGAACACAGCAUAUCUGGAGUCAGCGACCCCUUCCUGCAGGUCCAGAUACUUCGUCUGCUUCGGAUCCUGGGCCGGAACCAUGAGGACAGCAGUGAGACCAUGAAUGACUUGCUGGCCCAGGUGGCCACUAACACAGACACCAGCCGAAAUGCUGGAAAUGCGGUC
rnacentral:sRNA from 1 species